UGGGUCAGUUGGUAGAGCAUGGCGCUUGCAACGCCAGGGUUGUGGGUUUGAUACCCAC
rnacentral:tRNA from 1 species